rnacentral:rRNA from 1 species
GACGAACGCUGGCGGCGUGCUUAACACAUGCAAGUCGAACGGAAAGGCCCUGCUUUUGUGGGGUGCUCGAGUGGCGAACGGGUAAGUAACACGUGAGUAACCUGCCCUUGACUUUGGGAUAACUUCAGGAAACUGGGGCUAAUACCGGAUAGGAGCUCCUGCUGCAUGGUGGGGGUCGGAAAGUUUCGGCGGUUGGGGAUGGACUCGCGGCUUAUCAGCUUGUUGGUGGGGUAGUGGCUUACCAAGGCUUUGACGGGUAGCCGGCCUGAGAGGGUGACCGGCCACAUUGGGACUGAGAUACGGCCCAGACUCCUACGGGAGGCAGCAGUGGGGAAUAUUGCACAAUGGGCGGAAGCCUGAUGCAGCAACGCCGCGUGCGGGAUGACGGCCUUCGGGUUGUAAACCGCUUUCGCCUGUGACGAAGCGUGAGUGACGGUAAUGGGUAAAGAAGCACCGGCUAACUACGUG